rnacentral:misc_RNA from 1 species
CGUCUGAGUAUCAUACCCCAGGAUCCAACUUUAUUGGAAGGGACAAUUAGGGGAAAUCUUGAUCCCCUUGAAGAGCAUUCAGAUCAGGAAAUUUGGCAGGCUCUUGACAAGUCUCAGCUUGGGGAGGUAGUCCGUAUGAAAGAGCAAAAGCUAGAUACACCAGUGCUAGAAAAUGGAGAUAAUUGGAGUGUAGGACAACGGCAACUUGUUUCCCUGGGCAGGGCUUUGCUCAAGCAGGCAAGAAUACUGGUGCUAGAUGAAGCAACAGCAUCAGUUGA